UACAAUUGGCCCAGCGUUGUCCUGGUUUGGCUGGUGUAGGCUGUCAUUGUAAAUAAGAAUUUGUUCUUAACUGAAUGGUCUAGGUAAAAUUAAGCAAUUUAAAAUAAAUCUAAACCUAAGAAAUUUACAGAGCAAGGCAGUUAACCCGCAACAACUGCUCCCUGGGUGGCAAAAAUUCAUCUUCAUUAUUCUCCAUUUUGCUCCACCUCCACUUCCUGGAGGAGCCAGGUGGGGCCACAGAGCAGGCUCCUCCAUCUACUCCUGCCAACUCUGUCAGUUCACCAGACCCCACAAUCCAGCCUCCACACCAUUGCAGUAACAGCCAUAUCUUCACGUCACAAAGCUUCAGUACUAUCUGAAUGUGUUGAAGUACCAUCCAGCAUCCUGUGGCAACCUCAAUGUGAAUCAAAUCAAAUAAACUAGAAUAUACAUCCGCUCUGACCCGUGAAUCCGCACUGACCCGUGAUCACCACCGACCCGGGCUCUACAGAGGUAGCCUUGGACGCCCAGGCUUUGCACACGUUCAAGGACACGAGAUUUAGAAGAAUCCCAGUGAGCAAAAUUAAUGUCCUCCCGAGACCACCACAAGGAUGACUCUCAGCACACCAGACCGCAGGGACCGAUAAGAUGUGAUUGGAUGUUCAGCAGGAUGUGGACCUCGCCACGUCAUCUGGCCACAGAGAUAAAGGCUAAUGGAUCUGACAGAGAUAGUUUUUUGUUUGAUUUGUUUUGAUUUGUUUUGAUUUGAUGUAAUAUUCUAUAUUAAAAAAGAGACAAACAUA